rnacentral:rRNA from 1 species
CAAAACGACUCUCGGCAACGGAUAUCUCGGUUCUCGCAUCGAUGAAAAACGUAGCGAAAUGCGAUACUUGGUGUGAAUUGCAAAAUCCCGUGAACCAUCGAGUCUUUGAACGCAAGUUGCGCCCGAAGCCAUUAGGCCGAGGGCACGUUUGCCUGGGUGUCAAA